rnacentral:misc_RNA from 1 species
GAUGAAGAACGCAGCGAAAUGCGAUAAGUAGUGUGAAUUGCAGAAUUCAGUGAAUCAUCGAAUCUUUGAACGCACAUUGCGCCCCUUGGUAUCCCGAGGGGCAUGCCUGUUCGAGCGUCAUUUCACCACUCAAGCCUGGCUUGGUGUUGGGCGACGUCCCCUUUAGGGACGCGCCUCGAAACGCUCGGCGGCGUGGCACCGGCUUUAAGCGUAGCAGAAUCUUUCGCUUUGGAAGUCGGGGCCCCGCCUGCCGGAAUACCUACUCGUAAUGUUGACCUCGGAUCAGGCAGGGAUACCCGCUGAACUUAAGCAUAUCAAUAAGCGGAGGA